GGAAUUGCUUUAUUCAAUGUUGCCGGAUGGUCUCCAGCAGAAGAAAUCAUUUUGUGGACUCUACCAUUCAAAUAAAAUACAUUUGUCUACCUAACAGUUGCUUGUAAUAACUAAAACUAAUGGAGAUAGAUUUAGAGUUGUGCUUGUAUUUAAUUGCUCAAUUGGCGAUACGCGUUCAACAUCGAGUGUCUAUCUGCCUGUGAAAACGAUAACUUGAGUAUAACUUGAGAUAUAUUGAUGAAACUUGUUACAAAUGUUCCUUGGCACGAUCUUUAUUCUUUAAAUAAAUAUGAUAUGAAAUAACAAA
rnacentral:lncRNA from 1 species